rnacentral:rRNA from 1 species
AACGCGAAGAACCUUACCAGGGCUUGACAUAUAGAUGAAUAAUUAAGAGAUUAAUUAGUCCUUCGGGACAUCUAUACAGGUGGUGCAUGGUUGUCGUCAGCUCGUGUCGUGAGAUGUUAGGUUAAGUCCCGCAACGAGCGCAACCCCUGCCAUUAGUUGCUACGCAAGAGCACUCUAAUGGGACCGCUACCGACAAGGUGGAGGAAGGUGGGGAUGACGUCAAAUCAUCAUGCCCCUUAUGUGCUGGGCUACACACGUAAUACAAUGGUCGUAAACAAAGAGAAGCAAAACCGCGAGGUGGAGCAAAACUCAAAAAGCGAUCUCAGUUCGGACUGUAGGCUGAAACUCGCCUGCACGAAGUUGGAAUUGCUAGUAAUCGUGGAUCAGCAUGCCACGGUGAAUACGUUCCCGGGUCUUGUACACACGC